UAGGAUUUAUACGCUAUAUAUUUAUUAACGGCGUACAGUGUAUGUUGACUCCAUCUCUACUUUUAUCUGAUGUACUUUACCUGUCGGCUAAUUAUCUUCACCAUCUUGAACUUAAUGAACGGGACCAUUUGAUGGAGUUUGUAAGCGCUACAUGGUUGAACCCAAGAAGGCAAAACUCAGCACUGCCAGAAGUCUUUACUGCCGUAACCUGAUAGCACACUACUACCAUAUACAACUCACACUUGAAAGGAAACUGAAGCUAUAGUAUUGUUGAACAAUCUGGCCCAAUAUUAAGGCAUCUCAGGUGUGUGCGUGUGUGUGUGUUUGUAUGCAUCCUAUACUAUCAGACUCCCAUGAACCCAAAGCCUGUAAUCGGCUGAGUCUCUGUUUACGCGUGCAUGCAUGUACCUUGAACACAUAAAAAGUAUCAGUGGUGUUAAGCUGUAUGUGUAUAUGCACGCAGUGUUUUGGACGAGCUUGUGUCGUAGGAUCAAUGUGGCCCUAAAGGUCGCGGCGUCUAGUGUUCAUAGGUGUAAAAUAACUUCUUCAAAACUUCUGUUCCCAUUCAACAUGUUUUUCGCUGCUGUUUGUCCCUCAGGAUUUGGAUCAUUUGGCUCUGAGGCGCCUGUGAAGCCACAUUCAAGGUCCACUAAACCUGCUCAAGUUGCAACAAAAAGGCCCGAGUUGGGCAGACGUGUUUUCCGCAAGCUGCAUACACGGGUAGCAUUUAUUAAUGUGUACAAACACUGAGGAUAUUUCAGCAGCAGGAUGAGUUUGAAAUAAAGAACCUUACAAUCAUCCAUUGACCAAAGCUGACCAAUCCUCUAAAUUUGCUCCAAACUAUUUGCUCAAUUUCUGCGCGAUAAAUACUAAUUUGAUGUAUUUUCAUUCAAGUGAGUCCUGUAACUCUUGACAAAAAUGUGGUUUUCUGUUUUCUAAGUAGGUCUAAUUACUUAUUCUCUAAAUAGUUCAACUUUACAAAUAUUGUCAAAGAAUUAACAACAUAUCUGCACAUUUUAACAAAGGAGCAACUGUGCAGGAACCGACUCCUCAACAGGGCGACUUAAAUACACAAAAUGUCAUAAUGUUCAUUGCUCAAUAUUACUAAAGGUUUUCCUUUGUUUCAAUUUACCAACCAGCAUAUGAAUGCAUCAUUAAACUGUAGCGUCUUAACAAAUAUAUCCAGAGAAAAAAUAAACUAGAAGUAACACAAAUCUUUGUUAUUCUCAUUGUUCCCUUAGUCAUUCAUUCAUUACAGGACACUUAAAGUCAAAGCAAAUGUAUUCUGACGAUGGACUGAGAAUUACAUUUGUCACACUGUGGACAUCUUUAUGAAUGAAACUGAUAUAUAUUCCCAUUUCAAGAGUACCUUAUUGUUCCGGAGUACUCUCGGGUGUUAUAGCCGAUCGUUGGCAGUAUUAUACCAUAUAGUACAUAAAGUAUUUGAGGAUUUCACGUUUGUUUGUCUUGUCUAGAAUUGAAUACCUGUCUCAUUCGGACGUACAGUUGCCCACCUGACUUGGUAUGGAGUUAUGUAAACUCUCCAGGGAGCCUUCGUGGACCCUCUGUACAUUGUUUAUCGAUGCUCUGUGAUUGUGGAGCUGCUGACUCUGAUCUCAGAGCUGCUCAGCGUGUUUUUCUUUUGCGGUUGUACAAGAUUUAUUAUAUUAUCUGAUAUUCUUUCUCUCUCUAGUUUUCUGUAUGUGGGUAUUGGUGCUUUUGUGCUGUGAUAAGCCUAUUGAUGCCAAUUAUGCUUUUGUCUUUUCUAUUUCUCUUGUAAUAAAAAAAAGCUUUUCAUGCAGUAUAUUCCUGUGCUCAACCUUUUGUAAUGUUUCACCUCUUUUUGUCUACAGAAGAAGUUUAGUUCUUAUAGUAAAAUAAAAAAUAAACUAUAACAAAAAAGCUAUUUUCACGGAUGCACUGUUGACAGUAUUUUUUUUUAGCCUAACCAAACUUUCAUGUCAAGGAUAGUGAAUUAAAUCAAAAAGAGCUGGAUUCAUUGGUUUCAAUUGAGAAGGACUUGGUGCAUCUUAAAGCACAUAACUGUAAUUAAAAUAAAAUCACAAGAAAGCUAAUUAAAUCCAUAGUGUAUCCUUGAACGGUUAAUGAAUGAAACAGUGAAAUGUGACUACCA
ensembl:lncRNA